rnacentral:rRNA from 1 species
ACUGUGAUUCCCUUAGUAACUGCGAGUGAAGCGGGAUAAGCCCAUCGUUUAAUCUUCCCGGACUGUGGACGGGACGACAUGUAACGGUAUGGAUAGGUUCUCUAUCAACUCUGGCUGGUCAAAGUCCUCCGGAUUGAGGUGCCAAAGAGGGUGACAGCCCCGUGUGUGACUGGAAAGAGUUGAGUAUGUGGCCGAUUCCGAGAGUCGGGUUGUUUGGGACUGCAACCUAAAGCAGGUGGUAAACUCCACCCAAGGCUAAAUAUUGACACGAAACCGAUAGCGAAUAAGUACUGUGAAGGAAAGUUGAAAAGAACUCUGAAAAGAGAGUUAAAAGUACGUGAAACCGCUAACGGGGAAGCGGAAGGCAGUGUCGAGAUUGGGUGAGUGAGUUGUCUCAAGUUGGUUUUUAUAAUUAAUUUGGGGCGACUAGCUUUGCYCGAUGCGUCAGGACUAUUGGUGUGCGGUGGCUCAAUUGUCGGCAUGGCUUCCACGACACUCAUGCGCAUGAACUUGUGUGUGGGCUCGUGGUUGCGGCAGGCAAUCCGCCUCGUGCGCUGAUAUGGAUGUGGUGAGGCGUUGGUGAUGUAGUGUCGGUUGGUGUUGUGUGGUGCUCCGCGUAGUCACAGCGUGGCUACGUGUGGAGAAGUCAUGUGAUAGUUCAACAACCAGUGCCAGGGCCUGACGUGAUACCUAACCUUC